CCUACGGGUGGCAGCAGUGGGGAAUAUUGCGCAAUGGGCGAAAGCCUGACGCAGCGACGCCGCGUGAGGGAUGAAGGUCUUCGGAUCGUAAACCUCUGUCAGCAGGGAAGAACGGUCACUGUGCUAAUCAGCAGUGAAUUGACGGUACCUGCAAAGGAAGCACCGGCUAACUCCGUGCCAGCAGCCGCGGUAAUACGGAGGGUGCGAGCGUUAAUCGGAAUUACUGGGCGUAAAGCGCUCGUAGGCGGUAUGUCAAGUCAAGGGUGAAAUCCCCGCGCUCAACGUGGGAACUGCCUUUGAAACUGGCAAACUGGAGUGGGUGAGAGGAUGGUGGAAUGCCAGGUGUAGGAGUGAAAUGCGUAGAUAUCUGGAGGAACAUCGGUGGCGAAGGCGACUAUCUGGCACAUAACUGACGCUGAGGAGCGAAAGCGUGGGUAGCAAACAGGAUUAGAUACCCGGGUAGUC
rnacentral:rRNA from 1 species